CUCACCUUUUUGGCUUUCGACUAAGAUCAUGGUAGUAUAUGUUCUUAUCAGUGUAAUAUCUGAUACGCCUCUAUCGGGGAGAUUUAUGUAUAUUUAAAUGUACAGUAUACAUAUAUAUGUAUUGAAUGGUUUAAAAUAUAAAAUAAAAUAGGAGGGGUUACUCUGUCCACGCUAUGCAUUGACCUGAU